rnacentral:tRNA from 1 species
UCCUUGGUGGCUCAGUGGUAAAGAAUCUGCCUUUAGUGCAGGAGCCCCAGGUUUGAUCCCUGGGUCAGGAA